UACGUAGGGUGCAAGCGUUAAUCGGAAUUACUGGGCGUAAAGCGUGCGCAGGCGGUUGUGCAAGACAGAUGUGAAAUCCCCGGGCUUAACCUGGGAACUGCAUUUGUGACUGCACAGCUGGAGUGCGGCAGAGGGGGGAUGGAAUUCCGCGUGUAGCAGUGAAAUGCGUAGAUAUGCGGAGGAACACCGAUGGCGAAGGCAGGUCUCUGGGCCGAUACUGACGCUGAGGAGCGAAAGCGUGGGGAGCGAACAGG
rnacentral:rRNA from 1 species